GAUGAACGCUGGCGGCGCAUUUAAGACAUGCAAGUCGAACGAAGAAUUUUCACCGAACUGAAAUGAAGAUUUAUCGGAUUGGAUGUUCACCGAAAAUUCUUAGUGGCGGACGGGUGAGUAAUACAUAGGUAAUCUGCCUUUCAGAGGGAAAUAACAAGAGGAAACUUUUGCUAAUGUCCCAUAAGACCACAAUAUGGCAUCAUAAAGUGAUCAAAGGAGUAAUCCGCUGAAAGAUGAGCCUGUGGCUGAUUAGCCAGUUGGCGGGGUAAUGGCCCACCAAAGCUAUGAUCAGUAGCCGAGCUGAGAGGCUGGCCGGCCACAUUGGGACUGAGACACGGCCCAGACUCC
rnacentral:rRNA from 1 species